GCAACUCGCCUGCAUGAAGCUGGAAUUGCUAGUAAUUGCGGAUCAGCAAGCCGCGGUGAAUACGUUCCCGGGCCUUGUACACACCGCCCGUCACACCAUGAGAGUCGGGAACACCCGAAGUCCGUAGUCUAACCGCAAGGGGGCGCGGCCGAAGGUGGGUCCGGUAAUUGGGGUGAAGUCGUAACAAGGUAGC
rnacentral:rRNA from 1 species